CUUGCAAGCACUAUGAUGCAAUUAAUAAAUGCAUGUUAUUAUACAGGGAGUCAAAAGACCCAAAUUCUAGUUCAUACUUUUGCCCUUUACUAUCUAGAUGUCCAGAAGCAAAUAUUUUGACCUCUCUGAGCUCAGUUUCCUUGGUCUAUAUGGUCUCUUCUGGAUCUAACAUUCUACGGUUCGAUGAAUCAACGAAUGAACCAGUGAAGAAGCAAAACCUUUGCCAGAUGCAGUUACAAAAUCUUCAAAACAAGUAACCACCCACCCAACUUCCCAUGAUAAAAAGGAAGUCAGUGCCUUCUGGAGUCACCCGGCCAUGAUGAUGUCACAAACAAGUGACCUCAGUCCAAACACACAUUUCCCUGGUCAACUUCAUCCCUAAGAAGGUCCUAUUCCUAUGAGGAAGUUCAACCGCCAGCUACUUCCCAAAGAUGAUGGCCAGGGACUGCCCAGCUCCUUCUUGAAAGACCAUUUGCUUCUGGACCCUGAACAGCUUCCUUAUUAGUCCCUCUCUAAGGAGGGGGGAGGGCUUACCUUAAAGGGAAUGAAGAAGUCAGAGCAGUCCAGGCAUGGAGCUAAGCCAUAUUGUGCAGCAACCAAGAUGACGGCAUCUAUCAAGCCAAGACCUCUGCUGUGGAGGGCUCCCAUCUACCUUCAUCCACAAGAUCAGUGGCCAUGUGUUUUAUUUCCUGGAAGCCUCCAGUACAGACAGAAAGCAUAUCAUGCUGGUACAAACAACUUACUGUUUCCAUCGAGUAAAUAUAUUAAAGGAAGAAGAAGGAAGUUCAAAGAUGGGCAGCUGCACCUCUCCAGUCACUCUUCCUAAUUACUGUGGUAGAUGGCUAGUCUUUUUUACUCAACCAUGGCAGAACUGGGGCCUGGGAACAGACACCUCCAAGACUAAGCACGCAUUGGGAGUAGGAAUCAAUGCCUCCAAAACUGGAGCCAUAAGGUAUGCCAUACCCAUUCCAGGAUAACCCUCACCCUAAGGCAGCCCAACUACCAGGGCAAUUGAAGCAGGUCAGAACCAUGGAUUUUAAUAGGGAUGGGUGGGGUCUUGCUCGAGCAUAUCUCAUUGGUUUCCCACUUCUGAUAUCAUAGAGAAGAUCUGGAGAAAUAUAGAAUGGGUUAUGGAAUUCUCUAGCAUGGAAGGUUCUAGGCAUAGACAUUCCAGAAAAUGGAGGGGAAUUUCUAUAGCACGAGAAGGACUGGCUCCCCACUACCCACACUCUCCAAACAGAGAUCAUUCUGGAGACGAUACAAUUUUAAAACUGCCAAAGAAUCAAUAAGAGAGAUGAAGCCUUUGUUAGUAUCAAAAAUGGACAACUAAAACUACAUCAGUAAUGACUGAUCUAUGUGCCUGUUGUUGCUCAGUCAUGUUUGACACUUUGUGACCCCAUUUGGGGUUUUCUUGGCAAAGAAAUUGGUGGGGUUUGCCAUUUCCUUCUCCAGCUCAUUUUAUAGGUGAGGAAAUUGAGACCAAUAAGGUUAAGUGGCUUGUCCAGGGUCACACAGCUAGAAAGUGCCUUAGUCCAGGUUUGAGCUCAGGUCUUCUUGACCCUGGGCCUGACAUUCUUUCCACUGCUGCCCCAUGUGUCUAACUCUCCCAUUUCUAUUAAAGCCUUAUAAGAAUAAUCUAUAUGUGUUUCCAGGACAUUUUGUUAAUGGUAUGACAUGGAAACAGGCAGGCUUUCACAAAUGAUAUUCCACAAUACAGACCUUUCUGUUUGGCACUGAAAUUCCUUUACAAUCUGGUACCAAUAUACUUUUACAGAUUUAUUACACAUUAUUCCUUUUUGGACAUUCUCUGGUUCCACCAAACUGAACUACUUCCCCUGCUCUUCUGCACAACAAUCUUAACCUCUGUACAGAAUGUCCACUGUGCCUGGAAAAUGCUUCCUCUUCAUCCUUCCCCCCACCUAGGUCAUGCAGCCAGAAAGUAACUAGGGCAAGAGUCAAUCUUCCUAGAGUCAGAACUCUACUUCACUAGGCAGCUAUCAAGGUGGAGAACCUAGCCUUCUUUCAUGUAACUCUUCAACAUCGUACAUCAGCCUCUCAGUGAGGCUUUCAGAUGGAAGCAGCUGACAAAGAAUGCAUGAAUGUAUGAAUAAAUGAAAACCAUUUAUCA
ensembl:lncRNA